UACGUAGGGGGCAAGCGUUGUCCGGAGUUACUGGGCGUAAAGCGCACGCAGGCGGUCCGUUAAGUUUAGAGUGACAGUUGGUGGCUUAACUGCCAAAGUGUUCUGAAAACUGGCGGACUUGAGAGCUUCAGAGGGACACGGAAUUCCGGGUGGAGUGGUGAAAUGCGUAGAGAUCCGGAGGAACACCGAAGGCGAAGGCAGUGUCCUGGGGAGCAUCUGACGCUCAGGUGCGAAAGCCAGGGGAGCGAACGGG
rnacentral:rRNA from 1 species